UGGCUCAGUGGUUAAGAGCACUAGAUUGCUCUUCCAGAGGUCCUGAGUUCAAAUCCCAG
rnacentral:tRNA from 1 species